rnacentral:rRNA from 1 species
UCGAGCGAAUGGAUUGAGAGCUUGCUCUCAAGAAGUUAGCGGCGGACGGGUGAGUAACACGUGGGUAACCUGCCCAUAAGACUGGGAUAACUCCGGGAAACCGGGGCUAAUACCGGAUAAUAUUUUGAACUGCAUGGUUCGAAAUUGAAAGGCGGCUUCGGCUGUCACUUAUGGAUGGACCCGCGUCGCAUUAGCUAGUUGGUGAGGUAACGGCUCACCAAGGCAACGAUGCGUAGCCGACCUGAGAGGGUGAUCGGCCACACUGGGACUGAGACACGGCCCAGACUCCUACGGGAGGCAGCAGUAGGGAAUCUUCCGCAAUGGACGAAAGUCUGACGGAGCAACGCCGCGUGAGUGAUGAAGGCUUUCGGGUCGUAAAACUCUGUUGUUAGGGAAGAACAAGUGCUAGUUGAAUAAGCUGGCACCUUUGACGUUACCUAACCAGAAAGCCACGGCUAACUACGUGCCAGCAGCCGCGGUAAUACGUAGGUGGCAAGCGUUAUCCGGAAUUAUUGGGCGUAAACUCGCCCAGUUGGUUUCUUAAGUCUGAUGUGAAAGCCCACGGUUCCACC